AGUCAAGUUUUAUCACUCGCAGUGCGCUUUUGUGCUUAAUAGAUACUGAAUAAAUUAAAUCAUUUAAAAUGUCAACUGGUGACGUAAUUAUUUUAUUUACAACAGUGUUAAUAUGCAUCGUGAUCGAUCUGAAAGUAGAAGCUCAGACAGAAGGGCAGAUGUUUUUAACCAGUGAAAUCAAUGUAAAACCAUCGCUGAUUCUUCCUGUGGUGAUGUUUACAAUGGAAAAUGUGAAUGCACCGCGGGUACCUUUUGUUGAGAUCGAAUCCACGAGACCAUUGCCGGUAGACAGAACGAAGUCACCUACAAACUUUGAUGUGACUUAUACAUUGACAACUGCCACACUAGACGAGGUUAAACCUGACUCAGCAUUUACGAUCAAACCGACUCCAAAUCUAGGCGAUGCCAUAUUAACUACUGAAGUUGGAGCGAUCGACAGGAACUCCCGUGCUAUAAAACCAACUCGAGUCGUCAGUUCUGGAAGCUCGGGAUCAUAUACAAAGCCUUAAAAUAAACCGAGGGAUAGAAAUGAAUAAUGAAAAGUGAGCGUGUAAUUGAAGAACAAUGACUGCUGCCAAAUUUUAGACUGAACACUACAUAGUAGUUACAUAUGAUUACAUGUUAUUGUAUAUGUACACUGCAAUAAUAUAUGUUUAUAGUAUGUGGA